UACGUAGGGGGCAAGCGUUGUCCGGAUUUAUUGGGCGUAAAGAGCGUGUAGGCGGUUAGGUAGGUCCGUUGUGAAAACUCGAGGCUCAACCUCGAGACGCCGAUGGAAACCAUCUGACUAGAGUCCGGAAGAGGAGAGUGGAAUUCCCAGUGUAGUGGUGAAAUACGUAGAGAUUGGGAAGAACACCAGUGGCGAAGGCGGCUAUCUGGACGGUUUCUGACGCUAAGACGCGAAAGCGUGGGGAGCAAACAGG
rnacentral:rRNA from 1 species